UACGUAGGGUGCGAGCGUUGUCCGGAAUUAUUGGGCGUAAAGAGCUUGUAGGCGGUUUGUCGCGUCUGCUGUGAAAUUUCGGGGCUCAACCCCGAACUUGCAGUGGGUACGGGCAGACUAGAGUGUGGUAGGGGAGACUGGAAUUCCUGGUGUAGCGGUGAAAUGCGCAGAUAUCAGGAGGAACACCGGUGGCGAAGGCGGAUCUCUGGGCCUUACCUGACGCUCAGGUGCGAAAGCUAGGGGAGCGAACAGG
rnacentral:rRNA from 1 species